GGCGUGUGUUGUUUUGCGGUUUUCGAAAAAUAUAAAAUAUCGAUCGCUACUUCAAGAACAGCUGCUUACGCAUGGGUGCGAAGUUGUACUAUAGCAGGCACGUUUACGCAGUAAGAGAAAAAUCGGUGAACGCAAGAGGCCCGUCGGACAUCGUCGGCAAAUGUGUCGCCCAGAUGAAAAGCGUGGACUACGAUGUGCGUCUGGAGGUGAGCCAAUUCUUUCUUAAAAAAAAAAGAAGUGCCUCAAUAUCGCUAACCGCUUCAUUUCUUUUUCUUUUUUAGUUGUCAGAAAAUUGCAGAAAUAUCUUGCACACAAGCUGUACAUGCAAAGCUGGCUGCGGAGGCUGGUGCAAGCACGCCGCGGCCGUGGCGAUAUUCGUAAAUGAAUACGAAUAUACAUCGUGCACGGAUGUUCCAUGCGCAUGGAAGAAAUUGUCAUCGCGUCCCAACGUCGAUGUCAAAAAAUCAAUCAAGGAACUCUUUUCCCGUCGACCUUCGCGGAAACCGAUUCUGCAGAUGAUGGCACAAAGAGCGCCGCAUCCGCCUGACAAGUUCUAGUGCCCACAAGGUGAAGACGAGGAGAAGUAAUUUUGUUCGUCUGGCCGAAGCACUAGCUGCACCGAAAUGUUUUUCUACAGCUGCAACUUCAUAUAGAAAGAACACCGAAGAAACAGCAAGAGAGGAACUCGAGGUUUUUAUGGGGCUUCGCAUACAGCAG
rnacentral:misc_RNA from 1 species